rnacentral:rRNA from 1 species
UGGGGAAUUUUGGACAAUGGGCGAAAGCCUGAUCCAGCAAUGCCGCGUGUGUGAAGAAGGCCUUCGGGUUGUAAAGCACUUUUGUCCGGAAAGAAAUCCUUGGCUCUAAUACAGUCGGGGGAUGACGGUACCGGAAGAAUAAGCACCGGCUAACUACGUGCCAGCAGCCGCGGUAAUACGUAGGGUGCAAGCGUUAAUCGGAAUUACUGGGCGUAAAGCGUGCGCAGGCGGUUUGCUAAGACCGAUGUGAAAUCCCCGGGGCUAACCUGGGAACUGCAUUGGUGACUGGCAGGCUAGAGUAUGGCAGAGGGGGGUAGAAUUCCACGUGUAGCAGUGAAAUGCGUAGAGAUGUGGAGGAAUGCCGAUGGCGAAGGCAGCCCCCUGGGCCAAUACUGACGCUCAUGCACGAAAGCGUGGGGAGCAAACAGGAUUAGAUACCCUGGUAGUCCACGCCCUAAACGAUGUCAACUAGUUGUUGGGGAUUCAUUUCCUUAGUAACGUAGCUAACGCGUGAAGUUGACCGCCUGGGGAGUACGGUCGCAAGAUUAAAACUUAAAUGAAUUGACGGGGUCAUAGCUGUUUCCU